rnacentral:rRNA from 1 species
CCUACGGGUGACAGCAGUGAGGAAUAUUGGGCAAUGGCCGAGAGGCUGAACCAGCCACGUCGCGUGAGGGAAGACGGCCCUACGGGUUGUAAACCUCUUUUGUCGGGGAGCAAAGAGAGUCACGUGUGACUCAUUGAGUGUACGCUAAGAGAAAGCAUCGGCAAACUCCGUGCCAGCCGCCGCGGUGAUACGGGGGAUGCGAGCGUUAUCCGGAUUUAUGGGGUUAAAGGGGUGCGCAGGGGGAGGUGCAAGUCAGCGGUCAAAUUGCGGGGCUCAACUCCGUACUGCCGUUGAAACUGCAUCCCUUGAGUGCGCGAGAGGUAUGCGGAAUGCGUGGUGUAGCGGUGAAAUGCAUAGAUAUCACGCAGAACUCCGAUUGCGAAGGCAGCAUACUGGCGCGCAACUGACGCUCAUGCACGAAAGCGUGGGUAUCGAACAGGAUUAGAUACCCUUGUAGUC